rnacentral:rRNA from 1 species
GAAAAGGCUUGCGGUGGAUACCUAGGCACCCAGAGAUGAGGAAGGGCAUGGUAAUCAAAGAAAUGCUUCGAGGAGUUGAAAAUAACCAUAGAUCCGGAGAUUCCAAAAUAGGUCAACCUUUCCAACUGCUGCUGAAUCCAUGGGCAAGCAAGAGACAACCUAGCGAACUGAAACAUCUUAGUAGCCAGAGGAACAGAAAAAGUGAUUCUCGUAGUAGCGGCAAGUGAAAUGGGAGCAGCCUAAACCGUGAAAAUGGAGUUGUGGGAGAGUAAUACAAGCGUCGUCCGGCUAGCCGAAGCAGCAUGAAUGCUGCACCCUAGAUGACAAAAGUCCAAUAGCCAAAAGGAUCACUAGCUUACUCUCUAGUCCGAGUAGCAUGGGACACGUGGAAUAAUGUGUGAAUCAGUAAGGAGCACCUUGCAUCGCUAAAUACUCCUGGAUGGUGAUAGCAAAGUAGUACAGUGAGGGAAGGGUGAAAAGAACCCCCAUCGAGGAGUGAAAUAGAAUAUGAAACUAUAAGCUCCCAAGCAGUAGGAGGAGCCAGGUCUCUGAUUGCGUGCUUGUUGAAGAAUGAGCCAGCGACUCAUAGGCAGUGGCUUGGUUAAGGGAACCCACCGAAGCCGUAGUGAAAAUGAGUCUUCAUAGGGGAAUUGUCACUGCUUAUGGAGCCGAACCUGGGUGAUCUAUCCAUGACCAGGAUGAACCUUGGGUGAAACUAAGUGGAGGUCCGAACCGAUUGAUGUUGAAAAAUUAGCGGAUGAGUUGUGCUUAGGAGUGAAAUGCCACUUAAACCCAGAUCUAGCUGGUUCUCCCCGAAAUGCGUUAGGCACAGUAGUUGACUGUACAUCAAGGGAUAAAGCACUAUUUUAGUGCAGGCCGCGAGAGCGUUACCAAAUCGAGGCAAACUCUGAAUACUAGAUAUGACCUCAAAAUAACAGGUGUCAAGGUUGGCCAAUGAGACAAUAGGGGAUAAGCUUCAUCUUCGAGAGAAAAAUAGCCCAGAUCAGCAGCUAAGGCCCCUAAAUGAUCGCCCAAUGAUAAAGGAGGUAGGGGUACAAAGAAGCCAAGAGGUUUGCCUAGAAGUAGCCAUCCUUGAAAGUGUGCGUAAUAGCUCACUAAUCGAGCGCUCUUAAGUCGAAGAUGAACGGGGCUAAGCGAUCUGUUGAAGUUGUGGGAUGAAAAAAUACAUCGAUAGAGGAGUGUUUCGCCUUAGAAGGAAGGCCCUGUGCGAGUAGUGGUGGACAAAGCAGAAGCGAGAAUGUCAACUUAAGCAAUGCAAACAUUGGUGAGAAUCCAAUACCUCGAAAACCUAAGCGUUCCUCCACAAGGUUCGUCCACGGAGGGUGAGUCAGGGCCUAAGAUUAGGCGAAAACCCGUAGUCGAUGGACAACAAGUGAAUAUUCUUGUACUAUCCCUUAUUAGUCCCAAGGGACGGAGGAGGCUAGGUUAGUCGAAAGCUGGUUAUCAGUUCAAGAACGUAAGGUGCCCCUGCUUUUUCAGGGUAAGAAGGGAUAGAGAAAAUGCCUCAAGCCAAUGUUCAAACCCCAUGCGCUACGGUGUUGAAGUAAUCCAUGCCAUACUCUCGGGAAAAGCUUGAACGACCUUUAAAAAAAAAGGUACUUAUACCAGAAACCAACAUGGGUGGGUAGGUAGAGAAUACCUAGGGGCACGAGACACUCUCUCUAAGGAACUUGGCAAAAUAGCCCCGUAACUUCGGGAGAAGGGGUGCCUCCUCACAAAGGAGGUCACAGUGACCUGGCCCAGGUGACUAUUUACCAAAAACACAGGUCUCUGUAAAGUCGUAAGACCAUGUAUGGGGGCUAACAUCUGUCCAGUGCAAGAAGGUCAAGAAAGUUGGUGACCUAAUAACAGGGAAGCCGACGAUCGAAGCCCUGGUGAACGACGAUCAUAACUAUAAUGGUCCUAAGCUAGUGGAAUUCCUUGUCGGGUAAGUUCUGACCCACACGAAAGGCAUAACGAUCUGGACACUAUCUCGAAGAGAGGCUUGGUAAAAUAGACAUGUCUAUGAAGAUGCGGACUACCUGCACCCAGACCGAGAGACCCUAUGAAGUUUCACUAUUCCCAUUGGGUUUAGGCCUUUCCUGCACAACUUAGGUGGAAGGUGAAGAAGGCCUCCUUCCGAAGGGGCCUGAGCCAUCAGUGAGAUACCACUCUAGAAGAGCUAGAAUUCUAAACUUGUUUCAGGACCUACAGGCUAAGGAACAAUUUCUAUGGGGCGUAGGCCUCCCAAAAGGUAAGAGAGGUGUGCAAAGGUUUCCUCGGGCUGGAUGGAGAUUGGCCCUUGAGUGCAAAGGUAGAAGGGAGCUUGACUACAAGACCCACCAGUUGAGUAGGGAUGAAAGUCGACCUUAGUGAUCUGACGGUGCCGAGUGGAAGGAUCAUCGCUCAACAAAUAAAAGUUACUCUGGGGAUAAUAGGUUGAUCUUUUUCAAGAGCUCACAUCGACGGGAAGCCUCGGCACCUCGAUGUCGGCUCUUCGCCACCUGGGGCUGUAGUACAUUCCAAGGGUUGCGCUGUUCGCCUAUUAAAGUGGUACGUGAGUUGGGUUCAGAACAUCGUGAGACAGCUCGAUCCAUAUCUAGUGUGGACGUUAGAGCAUUGAGAGGACCUUUUUCUAGUACGCUGGUGUACCAGUUAUUGUGCCCAUGGUAAAUGCUGGGUAGCCAAGUGCGGAACGAAUAACUGCUGAAAGCAUCUAAGUAGUAAGCCCAUCCCAAGAUGAGUGCUCUCCUAUUUUGACUUCCCCAGAGCUUUCGAUAGCAUGGCCAAGAUAGCAACGGGUUCUCUGCUCCUGUGAGGAUAGAGCGAUAGAAGUUUUGAGAAUUUAAGAGAAGGUCACGGUGAGACGAGCCAUUUUUCAUUACGAUAGGUGUCAAGUGGAAGUGCAGUGAUGUAUACAGCUGCGGCAUCCUAACAGAUCAGUAGACUUGAAC